AUUGAACGCUGGCGGCAGGCCUAACACAUGCAAGUCGAACGGUAGCACAGAGAGCUUGCUCUCGGGUGACGAGUGGCGGACGGGUGAGUAAUGUCUGGGAAACUGCCUGAUGGAGGGGGAUAACUACUGGAAACGGUAGCUAAUACCGCAUAACGUCGCAAGACCAAAGAGGGGGACCUUCGGGCCUCUUGCCAUCAGAUGUGCCCAGAUGGGAUUAGCUAGUAGGUGGGGUAACGGCUCACCUAGGCGACGAUCCCUAGCUGGUCUGAGAGGAUGACCAGCCACACUGGAACUGAGACACGGUCCAGACUCCUACGGGAGGCAGCAGUGGGGAAUAUUGCACAAUGGGCGCAAGCCUGAUGCAGCCAUGCCGCGUGUAUGAAGAAGGCCUUCGGGUUGUAAAGUACUUUCAGCAGGGAGGAAGGUGUUGUGGUUAAUAACCGCAGCAAUUGACGUUACCCGCAGAAGAAGCAC
rnacentral:rRNA from 1 species